GUACUUCCUUCGACAAUACUUAAACUAAAAUUGGAAAGAUACGGAGAAGAUUAGCAUGCGCAAUGAUGACACGCAAAAUCGUGAAGCGUUCCACAUUAUU
rnacentral:snRNA from 1 species